ensembl:lncRNA
AUAAAAGCAUAAUUUUAAGCUGAAUCACUAUACUGCGUUGAUGAACUUUAGGAAUAGUUUGUCCUCGUUAAGUGGAAUCGUGAUAGCCUACCUCAGCUGCUGAUUAAACGUGGAUGUGAAUCGUGUCUUGUGUGAACGAUGAAGAUGAGUGUCUCCCAUUUGGCUACUCAAGUUGUAUGUGUCAUAUCAACUUCUAAAAAGCCCCUCGUGUUUGAAGGUUACUUUGUGCAUCUCCAGGGGCUGUCAGCCAUGGGUCCACUGCAAAAUUUACAGCUCUAAAUCAAAGCAUAUGCCGCCAAUAAGGAAGAAACUCUGAAAACAGGGUGUAUGAUAGUAUCUGGGUGCCCCCUAGCGUAUGGAUAAUUUCUACCUCAAAAUACUCUCUUUAACGUGCAGGAGCCAUCUUAAAUAGAAAACGGGGUCUCCGGCUGUUCGUCUCUCGCUAACGCCAAAAGCGACGUGCGCUCAUUUUUAAUCUGAUUAUAGCUUUUGAGACUCGUUUCUAAUUGAAACGGACAUGGCACAGCUAUGGGUGUGCGUACACAUUUUUUAUUCGUGCAUGUUGCAGAAGAAGCGGAAUGUUCUUUGCGUAUUUUGCAGUCAGAUGUUUUUAAAAAGUGAGCUCUGUACUCUGCGAGCCAGAAGUCUUACGCAAAACGGACACGUAGGAAAAAACAACGAUACGUUUUGGAAUUUACUGAAAGCCAUUUUUGACUGCGGUGCUGAUGUCAGCAUUCAACUAUGAACUCACCUCAAAGUGAAUGUUCAUUGCUUUGACCUUUUCAUUGUGACAGUGGAGUCUGAGUCCUGAGGUGAGGAAUCCAAAUGACCACCGUUUUUCAAAUGGAAGAGAGUGGGGCUCUUGUCUUCCUAGAUGGCAGGGAGAUUUGUAAGAAGAUGCAUCAACUCCAAUUCUUACAUCUGUUUUGAAUGAUUUUAAUAAAUGUCACCUGAAUUUCAUGCAAUUGCUUGUGUACUUUGUGAGCAUUUUAGUCGAAUUUUAGCAUGCAACCAAACUGCAUUUUAUGAUAAUUAUAGGGAAAAAG